CCACUCUUGUCGGGGUGCCCGCGUAUGAAAUACGCAAUGGCUGAGAUCGUUUUCGAAUCCCGUAGACCUGAUCUGGAUAAUGCCAGCGUAGGAAACAAGAUCUUCUCAGCA
rnacentral:ncRNA from 2 species